rnacentral:rRNA from 1 species
GCAAUCGACCACAGGCAACGGAAAACAGCGUUCCCCGUCCGCUCAACGAACUUAAGCCGUUGGCCGGCAGGUUAGUAGUUAAGUGGGUGACCAUUAGCGAAUCCCUGCUGUUGAUUGUU